rnacentral:piRNA from 1 species
UGCAACGAAGCCUUGACUUCA